CACUAAUCCCAUUCAUGAGGGCUCCGCCCUCACCACCUAACCACGCUCCAAAGCUCCACCUCCAAACACCAUCACCUUUGGGAUGAGAUUUCCACGUGUGAAUUCCGGGGGGACACAAACAUUCAGUCUAUAGCAAUCCUAUUAUUUAACGUCCUUUUCUUUGCAGAAUGCAGGUCUGUCCCAAGAAGUGGACGGUCUCAUGGAGAUGGGACAUGUGGGUUCUCUCUGUUAGAGCCUCUUCAGGAAGGAAAAUACAGACACCAAGUCCAAGCUACCCAGAAGGGCAGAGCGGCCAGA